AUGCAGUUCUGGUCCUUGGACGGGGCGGACGAGGCGUUCGGCGACUUUGGCCGUAUCGACCGCCUGGAUAGCCGGACCCUGGAGCGCGGUCACACCAAGACGUUCGCCUGCUGGCUCUGGACAUGGAGCGUUGCGCACAUCCCCACCACGCGGGCGCUCUGGGUGCUCAAGAGAGGGGCGGGCCGCGUCGACGAGAUCAUUGGAUACUCCCCGCCUGAUCGCCGCGUCCCUCCCCCGCCGGGCGUUCGCCGCUACGACAUGCUCAUCCACAUGGAUCGGAUGGAGGACUGGACCCCGCUCUCGCCGCGUCCCUCGCACUCGGGCCAGAGCGGGAUCCCUUCCUCCUCUGACGAUGACGACGACCGCCCCUUCCCGAGGACUGAGCCUGGUUCCUGGGUCGCUGGCGUCGAGGACGGCCAGGCCCCAGGGAGGAGGGCGGCCUCGCGGGCGCCGGCCUCCGGAUGCAGGGGCGGGCCUCCAGUUGCCGAUCGCCGCGACACAGACCGCGAUGGGAACCAAGGCGGGCUCCGACGCUCUUGGAAGGAUGCCUUUUUGGGCAAUUCUUGCCACGCCAAGGGCAAGGCCACUGACGUCGUCGAGGCUGCUCCAAGGCACCGCAACAAGGCCCCCUCUGAUCGCCGGCAUGAUGGCCAGGGCAAGCAGGCAAAGGAGGGCUCCGUCCUCAAGGCCACCCCCCGCUCCCACUCCGUCCGCGCGAGGCCGCUCGCCUGA
rnacentral:rRNA from 1 species